GAUGAACGCUGGCGGCGUGCCUAAUACAUGCAAGUCGAGCGAACAGACGAGGAGCUUGCUCCUCUGACGUUAGCGGCGGACGGGUGAGUAACACGUGGAUAACCUACCUAUAAGACUGGGAUAACUUCGGGAAACCGGAGCUAAUACCGGAUAAUAUAUUGAACCGCAUGGUUCAAUAGUGAAAGACGGUUUUGCUGUGACUUAUAGAUGGAUCCGCGCCGCAUUAGCUAGUUGGUAAGGUAACGGCUUACCGAGGCAACGAUGCGUAGCCGACCUGAGAGGGUGAUCGGCCACACUGGAACUGAGACACGGUCCAGACUCCUACGGGAGGCAGCAGUAGGGAAUCUUCCGCAAUGGGCGAAAGCCUGACGGAGCAACGCCGCGUGAGUGAUGAAGGUCUUCGGAUCGUAAAACUCUGUUAUUAGGGAAGAACAAAUGUGUAAGUAACUAUGCACGUCUUGACGGUACCUAAUCAGAAAGCCACGGCUAACUACGUG
rnacentral:rRNA from 1 species